rnacentral:rRNA from 1 species
UACGAAGGUCCCAAGCGUUGUUCGGAAUCACUGGGCGUAAAGGGAGCGUAGGCGGCGUGGUAAGUCAGAUGUGAAAUCCCGGGGCUCAACCCCGGAACUGCAUCCGAUACUGCCAUGCUUGAGGGUUGGAGAGGUAGCUGGAAUUCUCGGUGUAGCAGUGAAAUGCGUGGAUAUCGAGAGGAACACCUGCGGCGAAGGCGGGUUGCUGGGCUGACACUGACGCUGAGGCGCGAAAGCCAGGGGAGCGAACGAG